rnacentral:rRNA from 1 species
UACAGAGGUCUCAAGCGUUGUUCGGAUUCAUUGGGCGUAAAGGGUGCGUAGGUGGCAUGGUAAGUCGGAUGUGAAAUCCCGGGGCUCAACCCCGGAACUGCAUUCGAUACUGCUGAGCUAGAGUACUGGAGAGGAGAUUGGAAUUUACGGUGUAGCGGUGAAAUGCGUAGAUAUCGUAAGGAAGACCAGUGGCGAAGGCGGGUCUCUGGACAGUUCCUGACGCUGAGGCACGAAGGCCAGGGGAGCAAACGGG